rfam:Parcubacteria bacterium GW2011_GWA1_47_8 TY07_C0048, whole genome shotgun sequence.
GCCCUCGUAGUUCAAUGGAUAGAACUGCGGACUUCUAAGCCGCUAAUGUAGGUUCGAUUCCUGCCGAGGGCA